AUUGAACGCUGGCGGCAGGCCUAACACAUGCAAGUCGAGCGGAGCGGCGGACGGGUGAGUAAUGCCUAGGAAUCUGCCUGGUAGUGGGGGAUAACGUCCGGAAACGGGCGCUAAUACCGCAUACUAGCAGAUGAGCCUAGGUCGGAUGAGCUAGUUGGUGGGGUAAAGGCCUACCAAGGCGACGAUCCGUAACUGGUCUGAGAGGAUGAUCAGUCACACUGGUACUGAGACACGGUCCAGACUCCUACCGUAGGCUGUAGUGGGCAAUAUUGGACAAUGGGCGAAGGCCUUAUCCAUCCAUGCCGCGUGUGUGAAGAAGGUCUUCGAAUUGUAAAGCACUUUAAGUUGGGAGGCGUGACCAACAUAAUAAGCACCGGCUAACUUCGUGCCAGCAGCCGCGGUAAUAC
rnacentral:rRNA from 1 species